AUUGAACGCUGGCGGCGUGCUUAAUACAUGCAAGUCAACUGAACUUAAGGUAGCAAUAUUUUAAGGGAGGUGGCGCACGGGUGAGUAACACGUAGGUAAUCUGCCUUUAGGUCUGACACAACCUACCGAAAGGUAGGCUAAUAUCAGAUGAUGCAGCGGCUCGACAUCGAGACAGUUGUUAAACCUUCGGGGCCUAAAGAUGAGCCUGCGUCUGAUUAGGUAGUUGGCGGAGUAAUAGCCCACCAAGCCUGCGAUCAGUAACUGGUCUGAGAGGACGAUCAGUCACACUGGAACUGAGACACGGUCCAGACUCCUACGGGAGGCAGCAGUGGGGAAUAUUGGACAAUGGGCGAAAGCCUGAUCCAGCAAUACCGCGUGUGUGAAGAAGGC
rnacentral:rRNA from 1 species